GAUGAUGUUGAUGGUGUAGUUAGCACGCCAGUUUGAACCGCAAGCGCACGGAUCAGUUAUAAAUUUUCCCUUAGAAUAUUCCUCCAAGGUUUAUCAAUCCGUUGAAACAAGGUCAUAGGAUCUAGACUAACUAAGCAUGAGGAAACAUGAUUUAUCUUGCAAAGUGAUUGUGAAUAGACAUGAGUAGAUACGAAGUAUAAGUAGAUAUGAACAAGAGGUAACUCAUCUAGAGCAAAACCUAGACUAUGCUUAUGUUGUAGUUCUAGCUAGAUGGCAAGCAAACACAUGGUUCUCAUACAAAGCAUCUUUAAACCACUACCUCCGGUCUAACUCAAAACCCCCACCUUACACAGCAUCA
rnacentral:lncRNA from 1 species